UUAAGUGGCAGACGGGUGAGUAAUGCAUAGGAAUCUACCUAGUAGUAUGGGAUAGCCACUAGAAAUGGUGGGUAAUACUGUAUAAUCCCUGCGGGGGAAAGAUUUAUCGCUAUUAGAUGAGCCUAUGUUAGAUUAGCUAGUUGGUAGGGUAAAGGCCUACCAAGGCAGUGAUCUAUAGCUGGUCUGAGAGGAUGAUCAGCCACACUGGAACUGAGAUACGGUCCAGACUCCUACGGGAGGCAGCAGUGGGGAAUAUUGGACAAUGGGCGCAAGCCUGAUCCAGCUAUGCCGCGUGAGUGAGGAAGGCCUUAGGGUUGUAAAACUCU
rnacentral:rRNA from 1 species